rnacentral:rRNA from 1 species
UACGUAGGGACCAAGCGUUGUUCGGAUUUACUGGGCGUAAAGGGCGCGUAGGCGGCUCUGCACGUUCGUUGUGAAAUCGCCCGGCUCAACUGGGCGGGGUCAGCGGAUACGGCAGAGCUUGAGCAAGCUAGGGGGCAAUGGAAUUCCCGGUGUAGUGGUGGAAUGCGUAGAUAUCGGGAGGAACACCAGUGGCGAAGGCGGUUGCCUGGGGCUUUGCUGACGCUGAUGCGCGAAAGCGUGGGGGGCAAACAGG